UUUUUUUUUUUAGUGUAAACAGGAGGACUCGAACCAAGACCUCUUCCUUACACUCCCUCCCCCGUACCAUCCAACCCAACCCAACCCUCCCCCUAGUAUAUUCAAAAUAAAAAAAAACCUCAUCCUACUCAUCCUAUUCUAGUAAUUAAUUAUGUAUAAUAGGGACAUUCUUUUCUAGAGAAACUUUCAGCAAUGAUAGUGCAAGAUAUAUGUCACAAUAAGCAUUGCAUGUGAUUGAUAUUUGACACUAAAUGGCCAGCAAUUUGUUUAUUGCUUAAGGAGAUAUUUUUUAUUCAUAUAUACAUUUCUCCAAGAUUUUUUAAAGUUAAACAAUGAGAUAAAUUUUCUUAUUUUGCAUGGGAAGAAGUAUGUAGUUAUAAUGUGUAGAAAGUAAAGAUAGAGAUAAAAGUGAAAAUAUUUCAAAAGUUAAACAAACACCAAAAAAAUGAAGUAAGAAAAUAUUUUCAAUAAACUAACCAAACACCUGAAAAUGAUGAAAGAGAAAUGAUUUUCAUGGAAAAUUACUUCCACGGAAAAUAUUUUCCCAAGAAAAAUAUUUUACUUCCAACCAAACAGACCCUUCAUCUCGUUGAUUGUCUCCCCCAGUGCAUACAAAUGUAUUAUGGGCAUUUUGGUGAAAGAAAGGCAUAAACCGAGUUCUGCACAACUAAAUUUUGCCAAUAGCAUAUGAAAAUAUGAAGAAGAAUAAUAAUAAAUGAAGGGUCUGUCUAAUAAGUAUUCAUAGGGAACCAUUGAAAUAUAUCUCAAGUGUCAUGUUUUUGGAAAUGUAAAAUUAAUAGAAAAAAUAAAUAAAUACAAGAGAGAGUAGAUAAAAUUAAAUAAGAAAAGUUAAUAAUUGUUAAUAGAUAUAUAUACAUAAUAGAUUAGAUGAACGUUAAAUAUGUUAACAAGUACCUUAUUAGCACCCGUUAAAAAAACCUAUAAAUGAAAGAUGUGAUCACCAAAUCAUUGACAAAGAAAUGUGUUGAAAAUGAAACAAGAAAGUCAAACAUGAUAAGGGAUCAAAAAUGGAAUUUAAUAAUUGCAGAUACUCCAAGAAGUUGAGUUGAAAUCAGUUAUCCGAUUUCAAAUUCACAACUUCUGCUGUCAAAGAACUACAAAGGGACUCAACUUCUGCUAAUUUAUAUUAGUUUCGAAACUCUUACAAGUACCCUAGCAUCUGAGAUUAUCACCGGGAUCAACACCCAACUGGUUACAAUAUUCAGCAUAAUACUCAACACGAGCACUAACAGUGUCCGGAUUUGCACCAUCACAUUCAAGCUGUCCGUUAACGGCACGAAUUGUAGCCCCAAAACCCUGGCCAGAAGUGAUAAGAUCAUGACAAUUGUUCAUCCAGAACCACAAGGCAGUUUUGAAUGAAAUAACAUUAUCUGUGGCCACAGUUUCAGGUUCAGUUAGUCCAUCGAACCCUAUGCUUUCACCUGCUGGUCCAUAGUUAAAGUUCCAAGAUAUUUGUAUUGGACCCCUGCCGUAAUAUCCCUUGCCUGGCACACAAGGGUACUGAGUGUUGCGCUCAUCACAAUAGUCUUUGGAAGGGCCGUCUAUCUCUUCUAUAUAGCACAUAUCUGCACAAUAUAGAGAAGUCUGUAUCAAUUAUCACUGCAUUCAAUUGCUUAUAUGAAAGCCACUCAUUGAUACAUUAUGGAUUUUAGAUAUUUUUACUAUUAAAAAAUCUAUAAUCUAAAUACAAAAUAAAUGAGAACAUAAAAAAAAUUAAUUAUUUAAAAUCAGAAUCUAUAGUCAGUUAUAAUAAUCAAUCAAGAACAACCCCAAAAAAUGUCAUCAAUAUUUAAGAAGGGACCAUAUGUGAUAAAGAAAUUAUAAAGUUAUAAGUAAUCACAGACUAAAUAAAUAACCAAUACAACAAAGUAGAAAAAAAAAAGGAAAACAAUAAUCCCUCUGCCCAGUUAUAAGAGACACACCCUCAUGAUAAAUUUCUUUUUUUUCUUUUUCAGUUAUGUCAUUUUAAGUUAUUUGACAAUAGAAAGUAUUUCAUAUUAAUGUCGUUAUCUUUGAAGAAAGUUCUUGGACAAUAGUGCACAGGACAACAUCCUACGUAGAACUGUACAAAGAUUUAGUAAAUAGGAUCUAAGACGUAGAAAAGUUGCUAAAAAUUUCAAAAAAACUAAAUCUCCUUGGUGGAGUUGUUCAAAGCUUACGUCCAGUCUCAUGAGUGACAUGAGCAAAGAAGGCGGCAAUCUCCCUUUUGGAAUCAUCAACUGAACCAACUGUUCCAAACUCAGAAUACAAAUUCUGAGCUUCAAGAAACGCCGAUCGAGUAUAGAACCCUUUUCCAGCACAGCUUGAACCAGCUUGAUCAGAAAUCCAGCUAAAGAAAGCGUCUGUCACAACAUCAGCAACUGAAACACCAUUAUUACCACCAUCUGAUGAAGCGGUGCAAGGGCCGGACUGGCAGCCUUUGCCACAAUAGUCGUCGCUGGUGCCACAAUAGCCCCACUGGCUGCAGCAUAAAUCUGGUUCACAGUCACAGUUUUGGCUUGAAAUCAGCUGGGAAAAGGACCCUACAAGAACUGCAAUGGAGAAAAUGAUGAUUCGAAAAUUCUUCAUUUCUGUACUUGAAGAAGGAGAAAAGGAUGUGGACAGAAAUUGUUUGAGUAAGAAGGAUAUUUAUAGCAUGGAGAACUGGAAAAGUGAUCAGCUUGUGUGAAGUAUGGAGAACUGCUAUUGUUGGAAAUCUUGAAGUUGAGCACUGAAUGGAAUGGAUAUAAAAUGCAAUAUUAGUGCUUGACUUUCAAUUAAUCUAUUGACUUUGGCACUGUCAAAAAGUAGCAACCUUCUUUCUUGGCAUUCGGAAUGGGAAUUGUGGAAAAGAAAAAUUUUGGCCAAUUGAUAUCAACAAUUGUGAGUACAAGUCACAAGUCACAAAUAUAAUGCGUGCAAAAAAGAUAACUUGAUGUUGUCUGUAUCAUCUGAUGUUAAUAAAGCCUAACUCUGUUGUAGUCCUAUUUCAGUCUCGUAUUUGAGUCAGAACACAGAUGAUAUUUGUACCAUUCUAGAUCCACGGGCUGCCCUACUACAAAUACUUUUCAUUUGGCUUAAAAAAAACAUUUUAAAGGGUGUAAGCUUUACAAUUAAAGCACGAUCUUUACCUUAUCAUGCAAAGUAUUGGACAUAUAAAAUUUUAUCAAACUGUUGUAGUGAAAAGAACUCAAAUGAUCAAAUUUUAUCCAGUUGAUAAAUAUAGAAUCCUAAAUAAAAUGCAUAGUCCUUUUUUUUUCCUUUAGAGUUCUUAUUGCAUACUAUAUGAAUUAAUUGGUAAAAUUUUGGUAGCGUAUAGGAAAUGAUACCAAUAUAAAAACUACAUUUACUACUCGAGGGCUUAUUAUGCUGCCCAAUUUUUUGGUUUCUACCAUGAGCUGAAAAAAAAUCUUUUCGAAGCAUAAGUUUCCCCAAAUUCUCAUAGACUUUACAAAUGAAAGUUAUUUGUUUCUUGUCGUUCAUUGACUCACCAUGCGUGUGCAGAUGAAUUAUUGAUUGGCCUUUUUGUGGCAGAAAGAUAAAACAGAAUUGAACCAAAGACCUCAUAAUUCCCUAAUUAGUCACUUCAGCCAGUUGAAUUAGAUCUUAUUCACAAGUUUUUUGUACUUCGGUAUAAUAGCGCUCCUGUUCCUUAGUCUCUUAUGCUUCGGUUUACUCCCAAUCUUAAUUGCCUUAACAUUGGUGCAUUUAGACCCUUGCAUUUGGUAAUUCAUAAUCUUAGUAUAGUUAUGAUCCUCAAAUAUCAUACCUUGAGAAACAUCACGGCUAAAAUUACCAACAGCAUAUUGAAACAUGAAAAGUAAAUGAAAGACGUGCAGAAACUUCAAUGGAGAGGCUUGUUGAGAGUGGAAACACCAAAGUCGAAAGCUCGACGAAUACGAUCAAGGGUUCAAAACUGGAACAUGCCUAUUCGUAAAUAGUCCAAGAAAUCGAAACAAGACCAACAAAAUCAAUUAUAUGAUUUCAAAACUUAACAACUUUCGCUUGUAAAGAGCAAGAAAGGUAAACACCUUUUGCUAAUUUUUAUUAAUUUCCAAUCAGUUUUAAGCCUUUAUAGCUCAACAUAUUACUCCCUUCCGAGCACUUUCGGCUCUCCAGAAGUACCCUAGCAUCUGAGAUUCGGACCAGGAUCAACACCCAGUUGGCGACAAUAUUGAGUAUAAUACCCAACACGAGCACUAACAGUGUUUGGAUUUGCACCGUCACAUUCAAGCCGACCAUUAAUGGCACGAAUUGUAGCCCCGAAACCCUGGCCGGAAAUGAUAAGAGAAUGACAAUGGUUCAUCCAAAACCACAAGGCAGUUUUGAAUGAAAUAACAUUAUUCCUGGCUACAAGUUCAGGUUGACUUAGUCCAUUGAACCCAAUGCUUUGUCCUGCUGGUCCAUAGUUGUAGUUCCAUGAUAUUUGUAGUGGACCGCGGCCGUAAUACCCCUUGCCUGGCACACAUGGAUACUGAGUGUUGCUCUUGUCACAGUAGUUUCUGGACGGGCCGCUUAUCUCUUCUAUAUAGCACAUAUCUGCAUGAUAUAGAGAAGUGGUAUUAGUUAUCAUUCCGUCGAAUUGCCAAAAAAGGAAAAAAUGAACGUUAGGUAAGACAAGGAUUGUCGGAUGAUAUGAUAAUGAAAAAUGUAGCAAAAUUUUAUGAGUUCUAAUAACAAUUAAUUGCAAAAUUAUAGAAUUGAAAGGAUUUAAGAAUCACAAACAAAAAUAUUUAUGUGGGAGAAAAGAGAAUAAAUAACUUAACUCAAAAUGUCAUUAAUAUUUCAAACAAAGAAGAAAAUCUCACCACAAUAAAAAUCUAAUAAAUUUUCUAUAGACUAUUUUAGGCUCUCUUAAAUUUUUAGAAAAUACUCCACCUAAUACUCUAGUGCUAAUUUAUGAGAAUCAUUGAAUAAGAAACAACACGAUUAAUUAUGAAAUAAAACACCAAUCACUAAAUAAUAAAAUUACUAGAAAUUGACUUCAAUAAAACUAAUGAUAAUUAAAUAGAAAAUUUUUGAAGCUUGGUUUAUUUUGCCAAAAAAAGAAAAGAAAAGAAGAGCCAUCAAUAUUUAUGAAUAGACCACAAGUGAUUUAAAAUUUACAAAGUUGUAAGUAAUGAUUUAAAAUUUACAAAGUUGUAAGUAAUCACAUGCUUACUAAAUUAUAAAGUUGACUACUACAACAAAGUGAAAAGAACGGAAAAUAAUAAUUUCUCUAUCCAAUUAUAAGUGGCACCCAUAUUCAUGAUAAAUUAUUACAAUAAUAAGUAUUUCUUGUUAAAAUUUUAGUUUUUGAAGAAAGUUCUUGGAUAAUAUUGCAAAGAAAAAUAGUCAAAACUUGGGGACAUCCGGUUUUCAAAAAUCCAAUAGACCAAAGUGUGCUAUACUUUCUCACCAAGUGGUUUAACACAAUUUGGACUAUUGAAUUUUUGAACAUGGGACUUACCCAAGUGUGAGUCCAGAAAAAUAAUCUAUAUAUUACUGUACCAACAUUUAGAAAAGUUACUAAAAAUAUUUUAUAGAAAGUUCCAAAGUAAUUCUCUUUGGUAGAGUUGUUGAAAACACUUACGUCCAGUCUCAUGAGUGACAUGAGCAAAGAAAGCAGCAACCUCCCUUUUAGAAUCAGCAGCAGAACCAGCAGUUCCAAACUUAGAAUACGACUUCUGAGCUUCAAGAAAUGCCGAUCGAGUAUAGAACCCUUUUCCAGCACAACCCGAAGCAGCUUGGUUAGCAAUUCCAUUAAAGAAAGCGUCUGUGACAAUACCAGCAACUGAAGCACCAUUAUUACCACCGCUGGGUGCAGCAGUGCAAGGGCCGGAUCGGCAGCCGGGGCCACAGUAGUCGUUGCUGGUGCCGCAAUAGCCGAAUUUGCUGCAGCAUAAGUUUGGUGCACAGCCACAGUUUUGACUUGAAAUCAGCUGUGGGAAGGCUCCGACAAGAACCAUAAUGGAGAAAAUGAUGGUUGGAAAAUUCUUCAUUUUUGUGCUUGAAGGAAGAGAAAUGGAUGUGGGCAGAAGCUGUUUGAGAAAAAAGGGUAUAUAUAGGGAGGAGAACUGGAAAAUGGAUCAGCUUGUGUGAAGAAGGGAGAGCUGUUAUUGUUGAAAAAAUUUAAGUUGACUAAUGAAUGAAAACAGAAAUCACGUUUGACUUUAAUUCGUGCAUUGACUUUGACAGUGUCAAUAAGUGGGAAUUUUUGUUCUUGGUUUCUAGAAUGGUAUUUGUGAAAGAUUGAUUUUGAUCAAUUGAUAUCAAUAAUUUUGGAAUUGAAUAAUGUAGACUCACAAGUCGCAACUACUGUGUGUAUUUUUAUGACUUGAAGUUGUCUACAGCAUUUAAUUUAGUGCUCAUUAAUUCAUUAACUUGCCUAACUAUGUUUUAGUCAUACUUCACAUUUGCAUUUGAGUUUAAGCACUCAAAAAUAUGAGACAGAUCAAUUUGUCAGUUACAAUUCAUGAAAUAAAAUAGUGUAGAACCUGUGUUAGAAUAAUUUUAGGUUAAAUGGUAAAGAAAAGCAACACUUUUACAUAGCAAUAUAAGUGGUAGUCAGUUUUGGAAAAGCUAAGAAAGGAUUAAAGCCCCGCUUGAUAACCUAAUUCAACACUUAAAUUUAUUGAAUUCAAAUUUUAAUAUAUUCAGACCAUUUGAUAACCAAAGAUUGAACAUCUGAAUUAAUUAAUUCGCACUGAAUUUUCUAGGUAAAACUUAUUUCCAAAAUUAAGUGAUAAGCUAUUCACUUAUCAUUGAAUAUGAUAUGCACUCAAAUAUAUUAGAUUUAAUACUUAACAACUCAAUAAUUUAACGGAUUUAAAUUUAAAUUUUCAAUUUUCAAAUUUGAGACUUCAAUUUUCACGCUUAACUUUUGUCAAACGCAUCCUAAUUAGGCCACUUGCAUAUCACGAAUGACAAAACCAUGUGGCUUCUGCUAGUACACGUUUCGACAGUAUUCCACUUCACGUGUUUGUUGGGCAUACUGGCAUGUCCAUUUGCAUCAUGUCCUAUUUCAUAACAAAAUAUUAUAUUCUAAAUAUAUAUGAAAUAUUUAAUUUAUAUAUGUUAAUUUUUUAAUACAAUAAUAUAAUGUACUUGUAAAUCAAAUAGUAUUAAGUAAAAUAACUACAUAGAAGCAGAUAAAAAUAUAACUGCAGUGCCCCUGUUAGAUUGAAUCUUUAACAAAUUGAAUGCUUUGAACUUUUUUCAUUCAGGAUUUCAGUGCUAUAAUUUAUAAACAGUAUUUCCAAAAAAGAAUUGUUAGUGAAGAUAUCAAAUUGGUGCCCCUAGUAAGUAAUUGUGUUCAGAAAACAACUAGAGUCAAAAGUCAAAUUUUCGUUUCUUUCCUGUUCUUGUCUAAAGACAAUUCUGCAGACAAAGAAGUUGGAAAAAAAAAUAUGCUCACAAUUUGGCAGGGCAAACCUCCUUGCCUAAAAAUUAAGAAAAAUCCACGCCUAAAAAUUAAGAUAAGAAAAAAAAAUCAGUUCAUUUUCUCCUCAUGUUCACUAUUAUCUUAUUAAAUUAAAGGAAACCACGCUUAUAAAUUAUAAUCACUUGCAUCAAAAUCCAACGGCAAUUUUCUCCAUUUUUUGGAAAGAAGAGGAAGGGGGAAAAAGGAAGAAGCUUCCGUAGAAAAGGAAAGAAUUGAGAAAUGUGAUAGGUACUCUGUCUCCCUCUCGGCAAGUGCGGCUUAAGCCAAGCACAGCUCACAGAAGUCCAUUGUUGAAUUAGUCUCCCUGAAAAUUUCUAGCCAUAAAAAUUUUAACUUUUCCUUUUAGUAUAAAUGGAAGAUCUCGAAGUGGGGACCUCUUAUUUACAUUUUCUCUCCUCAUAUCAUUCAACUCAUUUUUUCCCCGAAUUUCAACUUGCUACUCCAUAACUUAGCUUCAUGGAUCUAUAUUUAUGUUCUCAGAAAUGUGAUGUCAUACUUCUAGAUACAUUCAAAAGCGAUGAAUAGUCGAUCAUUUGGACAAUUGUAGUUUAAAGAACUAAGAAUUAGUGCAAAUAUCUAGUUCAUUGAAAACGUAUGGCCCUUAAUUUUUGUAUUUUGACGAUAUACAAGUCUGAAAUUCUAGAAAACAAAGAAAACUGCCAUCCUUGAACAAUUCUUUAGAGAUUUUUUGUUCUUUUUAUUUUUUGAGCAAAUGAAACAUCUUCCCGUUUAUCAUUGGAACAUAAGCUUUACAAAGGAGCAAAACCUCUUACUACAACAAAAAAUCUGGAGCGAGCUAUACCCAUUAUACAAUACUAUGCAUGUGAAAACAAACAAAACAGACAGAAUUCAACCAAGAUCAAUCUAGCAAACGUCCGUGAUCUAUCCCCCAUUCUAACAACAACUCCCAAUUUUCCUUACUACCAGGAGCUUUAGCCCAUAAGAGACAAGUCAAGUUGAACAAUUUUAACCACUGCCGAUUUAAUAAAAUUUGGAGUGAAACCCUCCAACGUGUACAGGGUUUGUCUUUCCAAAAAAACAAAAAACAAAAAACAAAACCGCUGCUGCAACUACUUCCAUUAUCAGUAUUCUGUAUACGAAAAUCAACAUUUAGUCUUUCCCAAAUUUAGUAUAUUUUAGUGCAUAAUUGAAAAAAAUUCUCUUGGCACAAGUGGAAAAUUAUAGAUUUGAAAUCAAUUACAAAAUUUCCUAGAAAAUAGACGCCCACUGAUCAACUAUGGCGCUUCGUAGUUCAGCUUUUCCAGUCUCAUACGUAGAAGUUGGUCCUAAUAGUGCAUUAAUGUUUCAUAGUUAAUCAGAAUUUUCUAUGACAAAAAAAAAGAAGAAGAUUCAUGAAGAAAAAUAAUCUAUUGGCUGUACUUUAUUUCGAUUUAGACAUCAAUAGUGCAAUGGCAAAAGGACUUUGUAGAUGAACCUAGUUGAUGUAAUGAAUUUAUGAUGAUUUAAUUAACUAAAAAGGCAAUCAAUUCGGUCUGCUUAAUGUCAUACUCAAGAGGUCAUCAUCUUUGUCAAAGGGUCUAUACAUUCCAUACAUUAGUAGUAAAUGUUAGUGGAUUUGUUACUAUUGCUGACCAUGUUAGCCACUGAUUUCUAUUAAAUCAUGUCUUUAGCUUCUUAUAAGCUUCUCUAUACCCUACCUAAUCUCAUACCAUUUUACUUUCUCUUGGAUUAUGUGGAAUGCCUACUUGACCGCAAUGUCUAUAUUUUAAUGAUACCAGUACAUUUUCAAAUCUUCAAUUAGCUUUUAAAGUAUCGAAGUUCAGUUCACUAAUUGGCCAUAAAGACAGAUCAAUAGCAAAGUUGAAAUAUGCCACUUAUCCUGAGACGUUGUAGAAAGUUGGAAUGUUAAUGUCGUCCCUUGUAAUCCGAAUAUGUGAAACUGAAGUUGUUGAAGGGUGGGGGAGAGUUGGGUUGGGUGGUACGGGGCAGGAAGUAUAAGCAAGAGGUCUCGAGUUCAAGUCCUCCCGCUUACACUAAAAAAAAUUAAAAAAAAAAAGAAGCUGUUGAAGGGUGAAUGAGUUUUUCAGUUGUAUACAAGCUGUAUAAUGGGGUUUUCAAUAAAAAGUUUAUCAUUUUCUCAAAAAAAGAAAAAAAAAAGAAGAAGGGUGAAUUGAGGAAGCUGAAUGCUAAGCGAUAUAGUUCUAUUAGUGAUAGAAUAUAACAGGUGUGUAUGGCCAGUUAUGUGAAGUGCAAUCGUUCUCCUUCAUUCACCUUUUGAUAUUACUUUACGGGCCAAAUAUAAGAAUGAGAUCUCUUGGGCUGGCCACGUCUUCUUCUUCUUCGUUUUUUUUUUCCAUUCUUCUUAUAGAUCUUUAGGCGAAUAAGCAAUCUUUGGGGAAAUAAUGUAGUAUAUUUGGACAUUGGGAUAAUUUAACAAAUCUCCAUUGAGUUUUAUGACAAAUUCAUCAUAGUUCCCCCUCAAAUUAUUGCAUUACACUUGUGUCUAUUAGCUAUUGAUUUCCAAGGUAAAUGCUGAAUUUCCCCUCUAGGUUUACCAUUGACACUUUCUAUACAAAGCGAUACAAAUUAUAUAUAAGAGAUUUGUGAAAGUGUCAUACUUCCGAGCUAUAACUCAUAAACAAAGGCAUUCGUAAAACCCUUUUGAUUCAAAUAUAUAGAUUUUUUUUUAUCCAACACCAAAAUUAUAUUGCCCAAUAAAAAAAGAAAACCUUUUUUUUUGGUUAAACCAAACUAUUAUUAUUGCAGCCCCAAAAAAGUACAAAGUUCGGGACCAGCCCUUCCCUAAGAAUACAAGCUCACACACCCUGCCCCACCUCUAAUUAACCCCUACCGCCGGCAUCUACGAAAAUUUGGAUACCCACACACAUCUAAUAUAUAGAUAUACUCACCUAUACACUUAACAAUUUAAUGUAUGCUAAAGUGAGUAGAAUAGGGUUUUGAAAAAGUACUCAAAAGUAUGCUACUUCCAUCAUUACCUUCUAGCACGCAUUGUGCAAACUCUUUUCAAAUAGAAAAAAGGGAAUGAAGAGGAGAUACAAAAAAGGGUUGCAAAUUCUUUAAAAUAUGGCAAGGGUAAGCAUGCAAGUAACAUAUAACAUGAAACAAACAUGUUAAGGAAACCUUAAAACAAGAGAGGUAACAGUAAGUUUGAAAACUUUGGUGCAGCUAAAUGAAGUCAAAAACCUAAAACAAGGUUGAUGGAAUUAUCCCUAGUAAACUCUAUGUGUCCUUCACCAAGUGAAAAAAUACUGUUCAAAAUUCUUAUUUCUAUCGGAACCAUUUCGAGGAACUCCAAUUCGGAUGUCAAUACUAAAAGAAAUUUUCCCUAUGGUACCCCUGAUUUUGAAAUUCACUAAUUAUUUGUAUAAUUGUAUCAUAUAUAUGCUUUUAUGUAUUGUGUAAUGAUUCACAUCAAAUUCAUGAGAAAUUUCGCAUCCCUCUCACAAAAGUUAGCAAAUGCAUUGUAUAUAGGAAGCUGAAAACCAAACAAGACUUUAUUAUUAGGUUAUCGAUCAGUAUUAUUGGUCCUAUCCAAGUGUCAUCACGUUUUGUUUAUUCAAGUGUCAUAAUGUUAUUGAUAGUAUAAUUGGGUUGCAUGAUUAUGGUUGAAAGUGUGGAAUAUGCGAUUAAACUCCGUGUUAGGAGUACUGGUUUUGCUGUGGGUUUUUUCGUUUUCUUUGUCAGCUGCGUGGGGGCUUUAGAGCAUAAGCCUUUGUUUUGUUUCUAAACAUCACCGCCAAAAUUGCCAAUAGCAUAUCGAAACAUGGACACUAAAUGAAAAGAUGUGAGGAAACUUUAAUGAAGAUAUGCCAAAGACAAAAGCUCGAAAAAAUAUGAUCAAGGGAUCAAAAUAGGAACAGGCGAACACCAACAAGUUAAGUCGAACCAAGAUCAACAUAAUCAAUUAUUUGAUUUCAAGAGUCAUAACUUUGCUUGUAAAGAACAAUUAAAGGUAAACAAUUUGUUGCUUUCCCCCCCUCCCCAAUCAGGUGUGUACCUCAACAUUAUUUCACGUCAUGAACUUGUUUUUCCUGGGAUAAAUACCCUAGCAUCUGAGGUUAUCACCAGGCUCGACACCCAAUUGUCU
rnacentral:lncRNA from 1 species